AACGAACGCUGGCGGCAUGCCUAACACAUGCAAGUCGAACGAGACCUUCGGGUCUAGUGGCGCACGGGUGCGUAACGCGUGGGAACCUGCCCUUAGGUUCGGAAUAACUCCCCGAAAGGGGUGCUAAUACCGGAUAAUGUCUUCGGACCAAAGAUUUAUCGCCUUUGGAUGGGCCCGCGUUGGAUUAGCUAGUUGGUAGGGUAAAAGCCUACCAAGGCGACGAUCCAUAGCUGGUCUGAGAGGAUGAUCAGCCACACUGGGACUGAGACACGGCCCAGACUCCUGCGGGAGGCGGCAGUGGGGAAUAUUGGACAAGGGGCGAAAGCCUGAACCAGCAAUGCCGCGUGGGUGAUGAAGGCCUUGGGGUUGUAAAGCUCUUUUACCCGGGAGGAUAAUGACAGUACCGGGAGAAUAAGCCCCGGCUAACUCCUU
rnacentral:rRNA from 1 species